rnacentral:rRNA from 1 species
GACAGAGGAUGCAAGCGUUAUCCGGAAUGAUUGGGCGUAAAGCGUCUGUAGGUGGCUUUUUAAGUCCGCCGUCAAAUCCCAGGGCUCAACUCUGGACAGGCGGUGGAAACUACCAAGCUGGAGUACGGUAGGGGCAGAGGGAAUUUCCGGUGGAGCGGUGGAAUGCGUAGAGAUCCGGAAGAACACCGGUGGCGAAGGCGGUCUGCUGGGGUAAUGCUGACACUGAUGCGCGACAGCGUGGGGAGCAAACAGG